UUUUUUUAUUAGUCUUUUUGACACAGGGUCUCCCUGUAGUCCCAGCUGUCCUGGAUUCACUAUGGAGACCAGGCUGGCUUUGAACUCCCGAGAGAUCCGCCUGCCUCUGCCUCCUGAUUGCUGGGACUAAAGGCGUGUGCCACCAUGCCUGGCUGUGUUUUUUCAGUCUUUAAGUGGUUGUUACAAUACCUUGUAGGGCUGUUGGUGGCAUUACAUGAGACAGUAUGUAUUUUAUGAAAACUCUCUAGGAGGGGUCUGGGAUGUAGUUCAGUUGGUAGAGUGCUUGCCUAGCUUGCAUAAAGCUCUAGGCAUGAUCUCCAACACCUUUUAAACUGGAUGUGAUAACACAUGCCUGUAAUCCUAGCACUUUUGAAGGUGCAGACAAGAAGAUCAGAAAGAAGUUCAAGGUCAUCCUCAGCUACAUAGUGAAUUGGAGUUCAGCCUGGGCUAUGUAAGACUUUGUCUCAAAAAAAAAAAAAUCCAAAAAAAUGACAAAAAACACAAUAAGCCGGAGAUGAAUACAGGGUAAGUGGUUUUCAUGAGGAGGAUGUAAACACAGUCAAUGGCUUUCAGGAGGAUCACUGCUUUCUUUUCCACAGCUGAGAGAAUAUCAGCAGAAGAACAGCCCUGGUGUUCCCACAGGGGCAAAGAAGAAGAAAAAGAUUAAAAAUGGCAGUAGUCCUGAGAGACCCUCUGCUGAUGAUUGUCAGUCACCUGAGGAUAUUCAGGACAUUCUGAAGGUGUUGGUGUCCGACCUUAACCGUUCCAAUGGGGUAGCGCUCCCCCCAUUGGACAAAAGGAAGGCGCCCACAGACCUCACUCCUCCUGUACCACCAACUGCCGAUGAUGACACUGUGUUUCUCGGUGUUGUCCCUUCCCCUGAUGCUGAGCUCACUAGCAUGGCGUCUCCGCAGAGCCACGAUGCUGACAGCUGCUCUAAUCUCAUGGAGGAGACGAACACUUUCUCAUCAACUGAGAGCCUGCGACAACCUUCUCAACAGCUCAAUGGUCUUGUGUCUGAGGUACCACAGGAGGGGCCCAGAAAGCAAAGCAGGUGGAGGGGCCGGAAACCGCUGGGAAUGAUCACCGAGGCAGGGGUUCCCGGGAGGCAGAUUCAGGAGAACCUCUUGUCACCGAGGCAGGGGUUCCCGGGAGGCAGAUUCAGGAGAACCUCUUGUCACCGAGGCAGGGGUUCCCGGGAGGCAGAUUCAGGAGAACCUCUUGUCACCGAGGCAGGGGUUCCGGGAGGCAGAUUCAGGAGAAC
rnacentral:lncRNA from 1 species